rnacentral:rRNA from 1 species
UACGUAGGGUGCGAGCGUUGUCCGGAAUUAUUGGGCGUAAAGAGCUCGUAGGCGGUGUGUCGCGUCGGUCGUGAAAACUUGGGGGCUUAACCCUGAGCUUGCGGUCGAUACGGGCAUCACUGGAGUUCGGCAGGGGAGACUGGAAUUCCUGGUGUAGCGGUGAAAUGCGCAGAUAUCAGGAGGAACACCGGUGGCGAAGGCGGGUCUCUGGGCAGUAACUGACGCUGAGGAGCGAAAGCGUGGGGAGCGAACAGG